AAACUAGCUGUUUUGUGUUUUGAAAACACAAAUGAGAUUUAGAUCUCUAGUUUG
rnacentral:tRNA from 1 species